UCGCACCUAGGAACUAUUGACAACAAAAGGAGUCGCAAUGUAACAAAAUAACCACGUUUUACCCACGAUCUCACUCCCCGCUAGUUUGAAAAUUUUAAAAUAUUCAAUCCCGCUUUUCACAAACCCACAAAAUCAUCCUCAUCCUCAACCUCCUCUCUACCCUCAGCCGACUCGCCCUCACUCUAGCCAUUCUUCAGGGGAAUCCCAUAUUAUUUUCAAAAUAAUCCCAGAUUAUUCUCAGCAGAACGAGACAUCUCGAGGUAGUUAAGCUCGAUUUCCAGUUGGUCUUAAAUAGGACGAGCAGACCUCCGCCACCGCUACAAAGUCCUGUGUAUGAAUUAAGAUUCAAGGUAUUCUAUUUCUCUCUCUUCUCAUAUUAGGUUUGGUGGUUGUUUUGAUUAUUAUUGAGUAAAAUUCUUGUAUUCUUUAUUGUUUUCUCACAGUUAAGAGCUAUGUACUCUACGAAUUAUGAAUUUUUGGGUUUUUGCAAGAGGUGUUUUUUAUUCAUUCAUGGUUAAGUAAGAGUUACUUGGAAAUCAGGUGUGACGGGUGAUAGAUCAAAUUUUCACCACUAACUAAAUUAGAGGGUUUUGCUACCCGGCUAUGUUCCCAUUCUUAUGUUUAUAGUUUGCUUUGAUGUUAGCAACAUAAUUAGCUGAAUUUGCUUUGUCAAUUUUAAGUUUUCAUGUGUUAAUUUGCUGUGAUUUGCAACAAUCAAUUAUCCCGAUCUUAGCGACUAACAUAAUUUUUUGUUUAUUGCAUGCCUCAUCUCUGGUAAAAAUCAUGAAGAAGAGGUAUGGCAUUUAAUGUUAUUUGCUUAUUGCAACUACUAUAUUUUUCUUACUACUCUAUCGUUUGACUAAAUUAUCUUUUGAUCCGUUUAUAAGUGAUGCUGAUUGAGGAAUAUGUUAAAUUUCUUGGGGCAUUAGAAUGUUAGCACACGUCGCAAGUUUCUAUGAUUUGGACUUACUAGCUCUUUAACUAGUAAAGUCAUUAGAGGAUGAGUUUGAGCUGCUAGGAAUAGGAUUAUGAUCAAAUCUUACAGUUUUCUUAUCUGAUAAUUUUGAUCUCUUGUGAGUUUUAAAGUCUCAGUUGUGUGUAUUUAAUUGUAACUUCAAAAGAUAUGGUGAAGACUUUCCAUGGGAACCAUCUUUUUUAUGGAAAUGUUUGUUCCAUUUUAAACAAUACUGCGACAUUAGUUUCUUAUUAAACCAUGUAUAUACUCGCUGAAACGAUGAAAACUGAAUGAGAGAGGGAAAGAUCGUUGUUACGUAACCAAAUAGACCCCCUAUGUCAUACUGUCUAUCAUAUUUAUGAUUUUAUAUUUGCAAUAAGGACAGUGAACCCUGAAGUGUUCAUUUUCACUCUUACUCUUAUGUAUCUCCGACCCUAAGCUUUUUUUUGUUGUUUGUGUUCAAGAAUUCUUCAUAAGAAAGAGAAUUCAUUUUUCUUCUAAAAACAGAUGACAUCAUCGGAUCUACACUUGUAACUUGCAAGCCACCGUUGUAGUUGCCAGUUGUGAUCAGGGAAUAUGUCAGUUAUCAAUUUAGUUAGAACUAAUAAUUACGCAUGGAAUCUGGUGUAAGUUCUAGAAGCCUGACAGGACAUGAUAUUGUGAAAAGUUGCUAACCAUUCAGGGUUGUAGUCAACUAGUCAUCAUGUUUUUCCUCAAAUCUCUGAGUGAUAUUAUAUCUGUGCCAUUGAGUUUUACCGUGUUCCCUAUACUAAGAAUGAGACUUUUUCACAAAUGCUUGCAAUUGAAUUUUUUUGGCCUGAAAAAGCUAGUUUAUGGGAUGUAUUACAAGUUAUAUUUCAGGUAAAAAUAUUGAUGCAAGUGUUAAACUUUGGAGUUUUGUUUAUUGCUAUGUCUCUGAUGCAGGUUAGCCCAUGUUGCAUUGUUUUUUUCUAAGAAAGAAAACUAACAAGAAUUUUUAAAAGAUGAAUGCAUGAGCUGUGAUGCUCAAAGAUUGUGUAUUUUGGUUCAUAAUUGUACCGUUCCGUGCAACCAAAACUACGAUCUAAAUUUUUUCAUUACUCAACGUACACAAUCAACCUGUAUUCCUGUUGGUGAUACCGCGUUAAAUAGCUUGAAGGAUGGAACGUGUUGUUGUGGUUCUAUUUGCUGUCAAUAUUAAGUUCCUCCCCGGAAUUUGAGGUCUCCGUUAUACUGCAGGAGGAGUUGCAAUGGCCAAUAGGUGCAUGUGGGUUUGAUUCCGUAUCCCGGGGAAUUUAUAGACUUUACUAGUCAAGUAGUCAAUUUAGCAAAGUUCUGCAAUAUGUGAGGAAGUGUCAUCUGAAACAUCUUUCAUCUUUUAAACUAGAAUAGCAGUUAAUCAGUGAUUAGGAACCAUACUUUGUGGUGGCUUCCUGCCUCUAGAAAUGCAAGGUUUCUAACCACAAUGUUGUUUCAUUAUAAGGUAGUCUAAACCUUUUGAUUGGACUAUUGCAAAAGGAUUAAAAACCUGGAAGAACCCUAUGCAUAUAAUAAAGGAUAAAUGAAGUUAGGGAAUUUCUUUUUUCCCAUGAUAGGCAAUGUUUUUCACUUUUU